UAGCAGUUCGAAAACAUGCCAGUGUGAGUAGAUCAAUAGGUACUGCUCUGGUGGGAAGGUAACGGCGCUCCAUGCAGUCAUGCCCAUGGCCACAUGACCUCAAGAUGUCUAUGGACAACGCUGGCUCUUUGGCUUAGAAAUGGAGAUGAGCACCAACCCCCAGAGUCAUUCACGAUUGGACUUAAUGUCAGGGGAAACCUUUACCAUAAUAAUAAUAAUAAUAAUAAUAAUAAUAAUAAUAAUAAUACACAAUGCUGUUGUGUCAAUAAUAAUAAUGAUUAUAGUAAUAAUAAUAAUACUUUAUUUAUAUACCUUCCUAUCUCCUAGAAGGGACUCAGGGCGGUUUACAACAAAGAUACAGAUAUACAAUACAUAAUAUAAAAACACAUUAUUACACAAAAAUAAAAUAACAAUCAGUAAAAUCACAGCAGCUUCCAAUUGGGGUCAAUAAUGUUGUAGGUAACAGACCAUGAUCAGGAAAAGAUGAGACUGUACAGAAUAUUUCAUGCCAAGUUGGUGGAAUGGCCAGAAUGGAAUUAUAUGAUGGAGAUAUGUUUUGAGACUGGGAUUUGAAGCCAUGGGCUCAAACUGCAGGAAGGGAGAGGAGAUUCCGCCUGAACACGAGGAAGGACUUCCUGGCUGUGUGUGUGUGUGUGAGAGAGAGAGAGGUCUGUUCAGCAGUGGAACUCUCUGCCCCGGAGGCUCCUUCUUUGGAAGCUCUGAAGCAGGGUCUGGAUGGCCAUCUGUCGGGGGGCUUAGAGUGCAACCUUUCUGUUUCUGGGCAGAAUGGGUUGGACUAGAGGCCCUGCCAGGUCUAGGAUUCCGUGAUGGAGAGCCCCCUCCUCCCCAGUGGCAUUCCAUCACUCAACAGGUGCCGCGUGCUUCCCCCCUUUCUAGUGUUUUUACUGGGGGGGGGGGGGGUCCGCCAGCUGGCCUCCCCCUUCCCCACUCAUCCAUUGAGCCAGGCCGUUCCUCCUCGAAACCUGAUCCCACCCCCAGAAGGACUGGGAUGCCAGAGCUGCUCCAGGGGCUAUUUUGGUCCUGGCCACCAAUGUGGGGAGGGGGAGGGUGGGGUCUCCUUUUGUCUGUCCAUCCAGCCACUGGCUCCUCGACUCCCCUCCCGCCUGCCUGUGCCUCUCUCUGCUCUUCCUUCCCGCAGCGGCCCCCUUGCGACAUGGAGGAGGCGGAGGGGGAGGCGCCGAGCCUGGUGGACUCGCAGCCCAUCCCCUUCAGCGCCAACCCUUUUGUGCUGGCCAACCGGAAGGGCGGGGCGCGCCUGGGGGGCCCUCCCCUCGGCUACGGAAAGGGGGGCGUCCUGAAGACCAGCCUCUGCGCCAAGGUGCCCGUACCUGGGGAAGGUGAAGCAGGAGCCUGGAGGGAGCCCCCUGGUGGCGGCAGCAGUGCCAGCAGCGCCCAGCAGGUACGAGGGGGUCUUUGGGGGGGGGUCUGUGGGCGGCCCUGGGUCGGGGCCCCUCCCCUUCCACUGUCGGUCAGCCUCUCUGGUCCUCUCUGCCUCUCUCUCUCUCUCUCUCUCUCUCUCCUCCUCCUCCUUUCUGGCCCCGCCCACUCCAGCCGCCGGCCUCCGCGGCCCCCCUCCGGCCUGUCCACCUGGUGGGCAGAGAGACCCGUUUUGCCUCGGUCCACUUUGUCCCUGCUCAGAGCGAGAACAAGCCGACCAAGCCGGGGACCAUCCAGCCCAUCUCCCGCCUGCGACCGGGGCCCGGCCUGUCCCCCGGGGCCGAUGGACGGGAGGGCGGCCCCAACCCCUUCCAGCCGCCGGAGGGGCCCCGCUCCAGCGCCCAGAGCUCCCCUCGGUCGCCACGACCCCCACCUUCGCCGGAUGAAGCCACACCGGUCAGUGCCAAGCAGGUCUACAAGGGCCUUUGCGGCCGUCCCUGUCCCUCACUUGUUCCUGGAGACGGAGGACGCAUCGGGCCAGAAGGGAACAGAGAAGGCCCAGCUUGCCCCCUGUGAGGCACCGUCUCCGGGGGGUCUCCACAGCCCCGAGCAGCGUUCCUUCCGCGAGAGGCAGAAGUACUUUGAGGUGGAGCUGAAGCAGCCCCCGCCGGCCGAGAAGCCCCCCAAGAGGGUCUCCCUGGUCGGGGAGGACGACCUGAAGAAGAUGAAGGAGGAGGAAGGCAAGUGGAGCCUGGGUGAACAACGCGGUCGGGCCCCAGGCGGCCACUUUGGGGGAGGGGGUGCAGAAUGAUCCUUGACCCCCCCCCCCCAUUGUGUCUCCAGGGAAGGGGAGCUCAGGGGGCCCAAGGGAGGGGGGUUUCAAGCCUGUCUUUCUAAAAUGGUCCCAUGGAGAUCUAGGAAGGAAGAUUGGCAUCCAGUUUAUGUGUGUGAGAACUGAGUGUCAUGAAUACCGUAGAGUCUCACUUAUCCAACAUAAACGGGCCAGCAGAACGUUGGAUAAGUGAAUAUGUUGGAUAAUAAGGAGGGAUUAAGGAAAAGCCUAUUAAACAUCAAAUUAGGUUAUGAUUUUACAAAUUAAGCACUAAAACAUCAUGUUAGACAACACAUUCGACAGAAAAAGUAGUUCAUACGCAGUAUUGCUAUGUAGUAAAUACUGUAUUUACGAAAUUAGGACCAAAAUAUCACGAUGUUUCGAAAACAUUGACUAUAAAAAUGCCUUGGAUAAUCUAGAACGUUGGAUAAAUGAGACUCUACUGUACUUCUUAAACAGAGGUUCUUUUAUUGCAAUUUCAGUGUGAGAGGGUCUAUCAGGACUUUUACAGAAAGAACAUUUAGACAUACAGACAUACAGAUUCUAUGUAACUACAUUGGAUUCAUCAACAACCUAUUGUUACAUUGGCUAACAAACAAACAAACAGAGGGGAAUGAAAUUUUCACUCAGCAUUCACAUUAUCCAUGCAAACAUUCACCUUCAUG
rnacentral:lncRNA from 11 species